rnacentral:tmRNA from 1 species
GGGGGUGAGAGGUCUCGACAGGGGUGAUCAGAGUAAAGGGAGCAUGCCGAGUCGCCCGGCUCGUAAAAUCGGGCACUUUAAAAUAACUGCCGCCGAAUAUGCGGUUGCCUGAUGGUAAACAGGCUUAACCUGGGGACUUGCCCCCAAGGUCCUCAGGGGAUGGGUUAGGGGGUGGUCGUCCGCACCUUGAUCCCGAGGUGGACGACGACACCGAAGGGAUCUAUCCCCUUAUGGUGCGGGGCCCAGCGGACCAUAAGGGUAAAGUAACCUGGGUCUAAGCAUGUAGAGCCCUUUGCUCUGACACUUCUGGACGCGGGUUCGAAUCCCGCCACCUCCAUUA